rnacentral:rRNA from 1 species
UCAAAGAAGAAAAUAUGACGGUAUUUGACGAAUAAGCAUCGGCUAACUCCGUGCCAGCAGCCGCGGUAAUACGGGGGAUGCAAGCGUUAUCCGGAAUUAUUGGGCGUAAAGGGUCCUGAGGUGGCUAGCCAAGUCUAUUGUGAAAUAUCAGGGCUUAACCCUGAACAUGCGGUGGAAACUAGAAAGCUUGAGUACAGUAGGGGCGGAGGGAAUUUCCGGUGGAGCGGUGAAAUGCAUAGAUAUCGG